rnacentral:lncRNA from 1 species
AUGUACCGCGCAAUAAUUUUGGUGGUACUUUCCCAGUGCUCUGUUUUCGUUUCACCCUGUCCGUCCGCUGCCACGGAGUCAACUCGACGAAAUUCCAGGAUUGUCAUCUCUGCUUACAUACACAUGAACGAGACUUCCAACACCGUCUUCACUUCCAACAGCCCUGAUUAUUCCACCACCCUCAGCGCCUACACCCGAAUCCGCAGAUUCUACCACACAACCCCGACACCCGAAUUCAUCCUGGCCGCCAGCAACGUAUCCCACAUCCAAGGAGCCAUCAUCUGCGCCAAGAAAACCGGUCUCCAACUGCGGAUCCGAAGCGGAGGCCAUGACUACGAGGGGCUAUCUUUCAUUUCAGACGUUCCGUUCAUCGUCCUCGACCUUUUUCAUCUUCGGUCGGUGAGUGUCGACAUCGCAACCGAAAGCGCAUGGGUUGAAGCUGGGGCAACUCUCGGAGACCUCUAUCGUGGAAUCGGAGAGAAGAGUAAGGUCUACGGUUUCCCGGCAGGCUCGUGUUCCACCGUCGGCGUAGGUGGGCAGUUCAGCGGGGGUGGAAUCGGGUUCAUGAUGAGGAAAUACGGUCUGUCAGCCGAUAAUGUACUCGACGCCGUCGUUGUAGAUGCCGACGGGAGGAUCCUGACGAGAGAGACGAUGGGAGAGGACCUGUUUUGGGCUCUUCGAGGAGGCGGCGCCGCGAGCUUUGCAGUCGUAGCCGUCGUGGAAAGUGCGGAUUGUCCCGGUACCGGAGAAUGUCACGUCUGCGACGUCAGGUACACUCUGGAACAAGGCGCGAGAGGACUCUUUCAGAAGUGGCAGAGGGUCGCUCACACCCUCGACGAUGAUCUUUUCCUCCACGUAGUGAUAGGGUCCGUGAAAAGUUCUACCAGCUCGCUAGGUUUCAACCGAACGGCCCGGAUAGCUUUUCAAUCUUUGUACCUGGGGGAAUCGAUCAGGCGUUAUCCUUGUUUGGAGAGACGUUCCCCGAGUUGGGUGUUACACGUGGGCAUUGUACAGAACUGA